rnacentral:rRNA from 1 species
UACGUAGGCAGCAAGCGUUGUUCGGAGUUACUGGGCGUAAAGAGUGCGUAGGCGGUCCUGUAAGUUUGGUGUGAAAUCUCCCGGCUCAACUGGGAGGGUGCGCCGAAGACUGCAGGGCUUGAGUAUGGGGAGAGGUAAGCGGAAUUCCUGGUGUAGCGGUGAAAUGCGUAGAUAUCAGGAAGAACACCCGUGGCUAAGGCGGUUCUCUAGUACGGUACUGACGCUGAGACGCGAAAGCGUGGGGAGCGAACAGG